UACGGAGGGUGCAAGCGUUACUCGGAAUCACUGGGCGUAAAGAGCGCGUAGGCGGCUUAGUAAGUCAGAAGUGAAAUCCAUGGGCUUAACCCAUGAACUGCUUUUGAAACUGCUAAGCUUGAGUGGAGUAGAGGUAGGCGGAAUUCCCGGUGUAGCGGUGAAAUGCGUAGAGAUCGGGAGGAACACCAGUGGCGAAGGCGGCCUACUGGGCUCUAACUGACGCUGAGGCACGAAAGCGUGGGUAGCAAACAGG
rnacentral:rRNA from 1 species